rnacentral:rRNA from 1 species
AAAAUAAAAGAAAUGCCCGAUCUCAUCUGAACUUGGAAGUAAAGCAGGGUCGGGCCUGGUUAGUACUUGGAUGGGAGACCGCCUGGGAAUACCAGAU